CGGUAAUACGGAGGGUGCAAGCGUUAAUCGGAAUUACUGGGCGUAAAGCGCACGCAGGCGGUCUGUCAAGUCGGAUGUGAAAUCCCCGGGCUCAACCUGGGAACUGCAUUCGAAACUGGCAGGCUUGAGUCUUGUAGAGGGGGGUAGAAUUCCAGGUGUAGCGGUGAAAUGCGUAGAGAUCUGGAGGAAUACCGGUGGCGAAGGCGGCCCCCUGGACAAAGACUGACGCUCGGUGCGAAAGCGUGGGGAGCAAACAGGAUUAGAUACCCUGGUAGUCCACGCCGUAAACGAUGUCUACUUGGAGGUUGUGCCCUUGAGGUGUGGCUUCCGGAGCUAACGCGUUAAGUAGACCGCCUGGGGAGUACGGCCGCAAGGUUAAAACUCAAAUGAAUUGACGGGGGCCCGCACAAGCGGUGGAGCAUGUGGUUUAAUUCGAUGCAACGCGAAGAACCUUACCUGGUCUUGACAUCCACAGAACUUUCCAGAGAUGGAUUGGUGCCUUCGGGAACUGUGAGACAGGUGCUGCAUGGCUGUCGUCAGCUCGUGUUGUGAAAUGUUGGGUUAAGUCCCGCAACGAGCGCAACCCUUAUCCUUUGUUGCCAGCGGUCCGGCCGGGAACUCAAAGGAGACUGCCAGUGAUAAACUGGAGGAAGGUGGGGAUGACGUCA
rnacentral:rRNA from 1 species